rnacentral:snRNA from 1 species
UGAAGUGUUUGAGUUCUUGUU